rnacentral:rRNA from 1 species
UACAGAGGUCCCGAGCGUUGUUCGGAUUCAUUGGGCGUAAAGGGUGCGUAGGCGGCGGGGCAAGUCUGAUGUGAAAUCCUGGGGCUCAACCCCAGAACUGCAUUGGAUACUGCCUUGCUAGAGUACUGGAGAGGGAACUGGAAUUUACGGUGUAGCAGUGAAAUGCGUAGAGAAUCGUAAGGAAGGCCAGUGGCGAAGGCGAGUUCCUGGACAGUAACUGACGCUGAGGAACGAAGCCAGGGAGCAAACGGG